rnacentral:rRNA from 1 species
AGUGAACGCUGGCGGUAGGCCUAACACAUGCAAGUCGAACGGCAGCACAGUAAGAGCUUGCUCUUACGGGUGGCGAGUGGCGGACGGGUGAGGAAUACAUCGGAAUCUACUUUUUCGUGGGGGAUAACGUAGGGAAACUUACGCUAAUACCGCAUACGACCUACGGGUGAAAGCAGGGGAUCUUCGGGCCUUGCGCGAUUGAAUGAGCCGAUGUCGGAUUAGCUAGUUGGCGGGGUAAAGGCCCACCAAGGCGACGAUCCGUAGCUGGUCUGAGAGGAUGAUCGGCCACACUGGAACUGAGACACGGUCCAGACUCCUACGGGAGGCAGCAGUGGGGAAUAUUGGACAAUGGGCGCAAGCCUGAUCCAGCCAUACCGCGUGGGUGAAGAAGGCCUUCGGGUUGUAAAGCCCUUUUGUUGGGAAAGAAAAGCAGCAGGUUAAUACCCCGCUGUUCUGACGGUACCCAAAGAAUAAGCACCGGCUAACUUCGUG